UGAGACUUAGAGUCUCCUGAAGGAACGUUGAAGACGACGACGUUGAUAGGCCGGGUGUGUAAGCGCAGCGAUGCGUUGAGCUAACCGGUACUAAUGAACCGUGAGGCUUAACCUUAC
rnacentral:rRNA from 2 species